rnacentral:rRNA from 1 species
UACGUAGGGUGCGAGCGUUAAUCGGAAUUACUGGGCGUAAAGCGUGCGCAGGCGGUUUGCUAAGAGAGAUGUGAAAUCCCCGGGCUCAACCCGGGAACUGCGUCCGAUACUGGCAGGCUUGAAUUCGGGAGAGGGAUGUGGAAUUCCAGGUGUAGCAGUGAAAUGCGUAGAGAUGUGGAGGAAUACCGAUGGCGAAGGCAGCCCCCUGGGCCAAUACUGACGCUCAUGCACGAAAGCGUGGGGAGCAAACGAAGG